ACUUUUACACUUUGAAUCCUGCAUUUUUUUUUUUGACACUUCAGUAUCUUGCCUUUUUUUACUGUUAGCGAUUUGAUGACCCAGUAUUUUUUGUGAAACCAAGGCACAUUUUUUAUUUUUAUUUUUGAAAAAUCUUGAACUUUAUGUCUUCUCAAAUUAUAUUCUUUAAUUUUAUCAAUUUAUUGCAUAAGUUAUUUAUUUUGUUUAAAGUUGUAUCCAGUGAUUUUGGAACAUGUGUAUGCACGAUAAUGGGGCAAGUAUGUUUCUCAUUGCGGUUCAACUUCACAUUUUUUUGUGGUCUAGAUCAUGCGAGUUAUAGCAGUACUAGGAAAUUUGUUUGGUGUCUUGGAGUUGUAGUCUUCCUAUUAAUGAUUGUGACAAAUAUUGAUGUGAUGCUAAGGUGGGAUUUUGAUGUUGACAAAGAUCACCAGCUUAGAUGGUCUAGAACCCUUUUUAAGUCCAAAGAGCCGCAAAGGUAGUAUUUUCAGAAUUCUCUUUCCUCAUGAAUCUGGUUAAAAUGUUUUUGAGAUCCAUAUUUUGCGAAAUAU
rnacentral:misc_RNA from 1 species